rnacentral:rRNA from 1 species
AUGCCAAGAGUCGAAGUCCCGCCGGCCUCUGCCGCCGCCUCGGCCUUCUCCUUCCACAUCGUCGCCUUCGCUCUCAUGUCCUUGCCUUUCUCGCCGUCCGUGGCCUCCAGCACGAGCCUUGCCACCUCCUCCCUCCUCACGUCGCUAUCGAUCUCCAGCCCGAUGCCCCACUCGGCGCACGCGUACCGGCAGUUGGUCGUCUGCUCCGCGAAGAAGGGCCAGCAGACCAUCGGCACGUCGGCGCAGAUGCUCUCCAGCGUCGAGUUCCACCCAGAGUGCGUCAGGAACAGCCCGGUCGCCGGAUGCCCCAGGACUUGUUCCUGCGGGCACCAGCUCAGGAAGAUCCCUCGGUCCUUCGUCUCGGCGAGAAACUCCUCCGGCAGCACGGCCUUGUCGCCGGCCACGAGGUCCGGCCUGAUGACCCACAGGAACGGGCGCCCGCAGCGCGCCAGGCCCCAAGCGAACUCCGCGAGGUGGGCCGGCGACAUGACCGUGAUGCUGCCGAAGUUGACGUACACGACCGAGCCGGGCUGCCGGUCGUCCAGCCACCGGAGGCAGCUCGCGUCCUCCUUCCAGAGGUUGCCGCCGAUCGCGUCCAGCUCCGGCCGCGCCCGCGCCGCGGUGACCGCGAACGCCGGGAGCGGGCCGACCGUGUACACGCGCGGGAAGAUGCGGCGGAGCGCGUCCACGACGUCCUGCUCCACCGCGUCGAACGUGUUGAGGAUGAUGCCCUGGGCGCGGUGCGCGUUCUGCGCCUCGCCGCCGUCGAAGUUGAGCAUGACGUCGUUCCGGUCGGUCGUGCGGACGAAGCUGGGGAAGUCUCGCAGCCUUAUGCCCGGCAUCCCGGCCACCCAAUCGAGCGCCGUGUCGAGGUAUCCGUUGGUCAGACAGCUCUCGUCUACGACAUGUGCAGCGCAGUUAUAA